UGUGCAAUUAAGGGGAGACAGCGGCUUCGAGUGAGACCAAUCUGGAGUUUCAGGAAAAUUCAAGACAGAGCAGACCUGGCCCUCACGCCUUUUCUGUUGUUCUGCUCUGCUGGACGCUGGACGCUGUCUCUGUGACCGACCACCAGUCAGAAGGCCCGGGGAGGCUGGGAGGCUGGAAGCUUCUGAACUACUUUUCUUGGGUGUCCUCUGCUGGAGGAAGCACCUUGAGGAACACCCUCCUGUUUCUCUCCCGUCUGUGAAGCUCGGGUCCCGGUGUGUAACUGGACGUGUGCUGCUGACAGCAGUGUCCUGGGUGGCCGGCUGGGCCUGCUGUGGGCCACCAGGCCCGGCUGGACCCGGCCGUUCCUCUGCUCGCUCACACCCCACAGAUUCACCUUCCUUGAAUUUGCCGUAGUUUUCACUCCCCAUCGUGUCCAGCCAUCACCCCCGCCUCAAGUGUCCGUAUUGUCCGGUUCCAGUUGGGAGGAUCACUCUUGGGCUGUUUAAUCUCGAUGGAGUCGCCGUGAUGAAUUACGGAUGAAAAGUGCUGCGAGCCUGGGUGCUCUGUGGUGAUGGGAGGAAGGGAGUGGUUAUCUGGGAUCCUUUGGUGAUUAAUCUUGGUGCCUGGUGCUCUCUGUGGCCACAGACUUCGAUUUCCUCUCUCUGACCGACAGGUCAGUAAGUCAGCUGUCCCUGGAGGUUCCUCCCAAUUCUGGGAUUCUGGGAUUUUAUUGUGCAUUCCACAUGUGUGUGAGCAAUUACGAUGGAGCAGGAGUGUUUAUGAUUAUAAAGGUGUAAGAAAACUCAAGAGAUUCACCAUCAAGACAGCAUCCUGUUCGACCUUGAGAUGGUAGCACUUCUCAAAGUGUGAAGAGUGUGGUGAUCAUAAGACACCCCCUGUCAACAGUGUCUGCGCUCCGGCUGGUGGAACGCUGCGUCCGUGCAGCUCACAGGAACGGGCGUGGCUCGGCCUUGGAACGGUCACGACACGUUUGGACUCAUCUCCUCCUUCACCAGUCCCUCUCAUCCCUAUGAUUCUUCAAGAUGAUUCCCCUGUUUACUUAAGACAGGUGUGCGUUCCCAGCAUCAGUGAAUGAUGAAUUACCAUCACGUCAGAGGUCCUUGCAGCGAUGAUUACCAUACUGAACAAAGAAUCGUCCAACGAUCACGCCUUUAUUUGGGGAGGAAGAGUCUCAGUCCAUUCAGGAUGCUGUAAAAAAAUACCAGAGAUGGGGGGCUUAUGAAUGAUAGACGCUGAUUUCCCACAGUUCUGGAGGCUGGAAGUCCGAGACUGGGUGCCGGCAGAUCCCGUCUCUGGGAAUCAGGACAACGGACAAACCAAUUAGAAAGGAAAACCGUUUAGAAGCUUGUGCUGGUCCCACCCACCCUUUCAAGGAGCCAAGAAUAAACAGCUCAGUGGAGAGUGUCAUCCUGGCUGGUUGGGCAGAGUAAAGGGAGAUGUGAGAGGGUGAUUCUAAGCUGAGGUUUCCCGCCUGGAGCGGGGUCAGGAGGGAAAAGGCAGUUAAGUAACAUUUUUGCAGUAGCAGCCUGGUGGUGUGAUGGUUAAGUUUGUGAGCUCCACUUUGGUGGCCUGGGGUUUGCAGGUUCAGAUCUCGGGCACAGACCUGGCACCACUCAUUGGCAGCCAUUCUAUGGCAGCAUCCCACAUAGAACAGAGGAAGAUGGCCACAGAUGUUAGCUCAGGGACAAUCUUCCUCACACAAAAAAAUUACAUCUUUGCGGGAGGCCUUUUCCAUCUGCCGCCAGGGUCCGGCAUUCCGAAGGCCGACUUCAUCCAUCCAGGGGGUGCUAGGGGGCCACGAUGGUGAAGGCGCGUCUGCCCACCGCUCCCUGCCAGGCGAGAGGUCAACCCACUGCUGCAACUGCGAGCCUCGCGCCUGGGCUGCAUGCGUCUAAGGACCUGGGCGUCAGUCACCUUGGGUGACAGUGUGACUCUGCCCUCCACCCCAGCCGAUUGUCCCGUGUGGACCCAGGCCCAAGCUGGGAUAGCAGAGCCCUUUCCGGGAAAUCUGACCCAGAAGUGAGGAGACCAUCUCUCCAGCCAGGCUGCCCUCUAAGCUGGAGAAGCAUGAGAGCGUAGGCCUGUGCGGCGCCGCCUCCCCCAGCAGGUGGAAGUCCUGAGAAAUCGAGUCUGCGAGGAAAAAGGAAUGAAGCAGCCACACCGGGAGAACCAGAGUGAGGUGGCCUCUUUCCUCUUGACUUCGGCAAACCAGGCUUUCCUGGGUUUUCUCCAUCUCUCAGCCUUCCGGGCCCCGUGCCACCUCCCCCUCCCUCUUGAAGGGAGGGAGGUUCCCACGUGGAGCUGAGGAGUCGUGUCAGCCCGCGGAGGGUAGUGCUCAGGUCCCGGGACGUGAGUAAGCCCCGGAUCAGCUGCGCCUGAGUCCUUCUCAGAACUUGCCAAUUAUGCGAGUCAACACGUCUCUUCUUUGCUUUUGCCGAUUUGCCCCAGAUUCUGUGUCUUACGACUAAGAAAGCCCCAGCUGAUGCAGACGUCAUGCUCCAUGUGCUUUCUCCUACCACAACUUGAGAAGAGAAUCCUGCUGGUGAGCACCCACUGUGCACUUCGGACAUGCAAGCACCAUCUUCAGUGUUUUUUGUGAUGGUCUCAGUGAACCCCCACAACACCCCAAUGUGUUGUCCCAUGUGACGGAUGAGGAAACUGAGGCUGGAAAGAAUUCAAAUACUGCCCAACAUCCUACAGCCUCGAGAGAGUCAGGCAGCACUUGGGUCCACACACUGAUCCGAAGUCUAGGCUCGCAGCCUCUUUGCUGGAGCCAUGUGUGAAGUCAGCCUUGUGGGGACCAUCCCCCCAGGAAAUCCCGGUAGUUUUAAUGUGGGGAGAUUAGUCACUUUGCGUCUUUAGUUGCAUUUGGUUUCUGUGCUUUAUUUUGUUUAAUGUAUUUAGUUCCUCUGUUACUUUGUAAAUUACGAAUUUAACUCUGCUUGUACUUGCACAUGCACGGAUUUAAUUCUACACUUUCAACGUUUAAAACUGAGCAUCAGCUUUCCGAGGAAAACAAAGAAAAUCUAAAUGCAAAAAGGAACAAAACACAAUGGAGAAUGUCACUCCCAAGUAAGACACAACCAGUUCUGCCCAUUCUCCACCGACUUCCAGAACUCGUCGAAGGUUGGUCUUCGCAGGCAGGAGUUUCCCCUCCACGUCACACUUAAGCUUGCUGGAGGGGCAGCUGCGUGGUCAGGUGUCACUCGGCCAGCCAAACAUGCCAAGCCACCCUUUGCUGAUCUUCCAGACCCCCGUUCAUAAGAUUAUUGUUUCCUGUUGUGAACCCGAGGAGGUGCACAGAUAGACGCUGGGAAAGGCUGCCUGCCCGCCCUCACACGGACCGAGUGGAAUCUCCGAGCCAGCACGCGAGAAGGAAGGAUGAGCCCUGCAGGGCUGCGUGAGGCCCCGAGCCCUCCACCCCGCCCAGCAACAGGGGAGAAGGGUUUCUUUUAUCCCCACAUGAUGUAUGGAUUCCUUUUCCCUGUUUGAGAGCCAGGAAAAGAUAGAAAUGAGCUUGGAACAGAAAUGCAUAGAAAUCCUUUCCUACUGUGUUCUGUUCAAGGUGUUUCUCCAAAUGUAAGUGGAGAGCCGAGAUGUGAAGGAGAGAAGAGAGACCUCAGGGAUAGGAGACACCACGUGGAGCCUGACAGUGACAGCCAGCAGCAGAAGGCAGAGACACUUGAGGAAGAGACCCUUGACCAGAGGAGAAUGCUAAGCCCUGAUUGCAGCCAUGCCAGAGGAAAAAAGUGUUCACACAGAAGGGCCUACGGGUUGAGCUAAGUGGCAACAGGAGUGGGAAGGUGUCUGCUUUGGGAUUUGUGUGUAGCAAAGAACGUCAGAAGAAAGCUUCUUUAUGUAAUUUAAUGUGAGAUCUCCAAGUUAGCCACUGGGUUUCACCAAGAUUCAAGUAAAUUCAAUGACACUCCCAGCGGCUCUUAUUCUCAAAGUUGUCUGCAGAGCCAGAAUCAUUAGAAUUCAACUCCAGCAAGAGCAGAAGGAGAGAGAGAUUUCUGACUUCCUCAGCCCACGUCUUCCUUCCUAGAAAGUGAGCAAAGCCACUGGUAUAAAAGUUCUAAUAAUAAUUCUCCCUUCCCUGCCUGCUGUUGACGAUCUCCUCCGCCCCCAGAGCCUGGAGGUAAGGCGCCUCGCCCGCACCAGCUCUUGCUCCAAAGCCCUUUAUCAGGAGAAAUGCUGUGUGUCAGCCCCCCAGCCGGCCUGGCCCCUGGCAGGUCUUCUCUGAGAGUCAGGGUGGACAGCACAGCGAGGGCGAGGCACCUUCCCCAUAAUGGACUCUGCCCACUCUUCUCUCUUUUCACCCAGAAUCAUGAGAUGCACGGUUCACACCUGCGUUAUGUGUGGGCUCUGUCCACCUGAGCCACCAGCUUCCCAAUGCCUGGGAAACGGAAUUUGUGUUAUCCUGUGUUAUUCCACUGGUACACAACUGAAACCAUGAGCAUUCAUUUACAGAGGACGCCCCCCUCCCCGCAAGGCCCUCGGGGCUGCUGAAUGUGUCUCAGGACCAUGACUGGGGCUCUGUCAACUAAGCCACCCAGAGCAAACUCGAGAUUCCUCCCCAGGCCCAUUUCCUCCUCGUCUUGCCCAUCGGAGAAAAUGCACCGAUAUCCGCUCCACUGUUCCAGGCAGACUUCUGGGUGUCCCUGGGGCUCUGUCCAGCUGUGCAUCCUUCCUCUCCAGGCCAGAACGCAGGUACCUCAGGACAGCCCUGGCCCCGUGUCCACUGCCAUUCCUUCACGUCUGCCAUGCUGCUUGGCACACGAUAGGCACUCAGUGAGUGUUCGUCAUGAUUUAAUAAUCCCCCGGGUUACACACUCACCGUCUCCUCCUUUGGAAUCCCAUUGGCGGGGGGGCCUGAGGUUCAGCUUUGCUUUAAUCAGAUCCCCUGUCCAUUCCUGUCGGCGCCAGCUUUCUGGCUCAUUCAUUCAUUCACUCACUCGUUCUUCCGGAAAACAUUAAGGAGGCUUUUGCUCUUUGGGACCCUGAGCUCAGUCCCAGCCAUCAAGGACUCAGGCUGGCAGCGGGG
rnacentral:lncRNA from 1 species